rnacentral:rRNA from 1 species
GAUGAACGCUGGCGGCGUGCUUAAUACAUGCAAGUCGAGCGAACAGACGAGGAGUUUGCUCCUCAGACGUUAGCGGAGGAGGGGUGAGUAACACGUGGAUAACCCACUUCUAUGACUGGGAAACCUGGGGGACACCGGAGCUAAUCCCGGAUAAUAUAUUGAUCCGCAUGGUUCAAUAGUGAAAGACGGUUUUGCAGUCACUUAUAGCUGGAUACGUGCCGCAUUGGCUAGUUGGGAAGGUAACGGGUUACCAGGGCCAGGAAGGGUAGACCACGUGGGGGACGGGUCGGCCGCACGGGAGGUGAGACAGGGACCAGACGCCUACGAGAGGCAGCAGUAUGGUAUCUUAGGCAAUAGGCGAAAACUUGACGGAGCAAGGCCGCGUGUGAGAUGAAGGUCUUCGGUGCGUAAAACCCUGUUAUGAGUUAAAAACAAAUUUGUAUAUAGCUGAGCACGACGUGACGGUACCUGAUGAAGAAGCCACGGCUAACUACGUG